GCUGUAACAUCUAUCAGGCAGGGUGCUUGCAUGCAUUAAAUAGGUCACACACUGAAAUGACUAGUGGCAGCUGUUUUACUUGCAGAGAAGAGUACCUCUGAAGAACUCUGUAACUUCAGGACAGUGCUGCUUCUUGUGUAUCCUGAAGUGUCCUUGAAACAUGGAGGGAAGCAAAGUGCGGAAUAUCAAGACAGCCAAAACACACACUGGUACUGUGGGAGAACUAGCAAGAGGUUGGCAGAGUUGGUCAGAAGAUCAUGUUGAUUAUCAGAGACGGAAUCCAUUCAGCAGCAACAGGCCCGUAACUCUAUGCGCACGAAGGGGAGAUGCCACCUAUGGGAGACCCCCUGAAGGCUCCAAAACAGAACAGAGGGGGAAAGAUGCUCACAUCCACAUAGGCAAGGAAGUGGAAGAACUAUGCCUGGUCAUAAGGAGUGUUGGGGAGACAGGCCAGGAUGGACAUGUAAAAAUAACAUUCAAACAGCUCUUUGAUAGAUAUGUAACCAUAUCCAAUAAGGUAGUUGGUGUUCUACUGAGAGCAAGGAAACAUGGCUUGGUUGAUUUUGAAGGUGAAAUGCUUUGGCAAGGAAAAGAUGAUGAUGUCAUUAUUACCUUACUUGAGUAAAAUAGCUAGGUAUUAAACAUAGUGUAUGUAGUUGAGAACCGUUGAAAGCCUUAAACAUCAACAGUGUUGGCUGGCCAAAACACUGAAAAAAUUACUUUAAAGGUGCAGAAAGUAAGUAUUCUGUAAUGAGUGUACAGCUUUGCCGAUGAAUUCUGCAAUCAGUUUAUGCUAGCCUACUCUUAUGUAUCUCCAGCAAUAAGACCUGAUGUACUCCCACAUUCUAUUCAACUGGUCUGAAAGAACCCUGGAUCUGGAAAUGUGUGAGCACUAUAUUUCAUGACUUGUCACUUUGGAAAUGCAGGCAUGAAUAAAAAAAUAAAAUAGAAGUGACAUAAAUCAGA